rnacentral:rRNA from 1 species
GGUAACAGGAAGCAGCUUGCUGCUUCGCUGACGAGUGGCGGACGGGUGAGUAAUGUCUGGGAAACUGCCUGAUGGAGGGGGAUAACUACUGGAAACGGUAGCUAAUACCGCAUAACGUCGCAAGACCAAAGAGGGGGACCUUCGGGCCUCUUGCCAUCGGAUGUGCCCAGAUGGGAUUAGCUAGUAGGUGGGGUAACGGCUCACCUAGGCGACGAUCCCUAGCUGGUCUGAGAGGAUGACCAGCCACACUGGAACUGAGACACGGUCCAGACUCCUACGGGAGGCAGCAGUGGGGAAUAUUGCACAAUGGGCGCAAGCCUGAUGCAGCCAUGCCGCGUGUAUGAAGAAGGCCUUCGGGUUGUAAAGUACUUUCAGCGGGGAGGAAGGCGACAGGGUUAAUAACCCUGUCGAUUGACGUUACCCGCAGAAGAAGCACCGGCUAACUCCGUGCCAGCAGCCGCGGUAAUACGGAGGGUGCAAGCGUUAAUCGGAAUUACUGGGCGUAAAGCGCACGCAGGCGGUCUGUCAAGUCGGAUGUGAAAUCCCCGGGCUCAACCUGGGAACUGCAUUCGAAACUGGCAGGCUAGAGUCUUGUAGAGGGGGGUAGAAUUCCAGGUGUAGCGGUGAAAUGCGUAGAGAUCUGGAGGAAUACCGGUGGC